UUUCUACACUUGCCUACACUAACACAAUUCAACACAUUAAUCUACACCCGUAAUGCAGCCUGCACCGCUCUUCCAGCGGUGUUGCCGGUCCCAAGCCCGGGAAAAUGCAGAGGGAAAUUUGUGUGUGGCUUAAAGACACAAAUACAAUUUGCCCUUGGUUUGCCUGCAAUGGAACACCAUUACUUCCAUCACCAUCAAGCACGUGUCUAUGCCAAGAAACAUUGCAUUGACCAAGAUAUAGAGCUUCGCCAAAUUUUCAUGGCAAGGGGUUCUACUCCAACUUCUGGCAACAACCUAAUACACAUUGCCAGGCAUUUUCAGUGCCUUACACCAGUCGAUAAAACAACUUCUCUAGGGAAAUCAUAUUCCCUGAUGUCAAGUUUUGCCUAUUUCGGUCAGCACGCGAAUCUCGCGGGCACGUUACCUGGUGUUUUCGUUAAUCAAGAACGAAAGUUAGAGGUUCAAAGGCGAUCAGAUACCGCCCUAGUUCUAACCAUAAACGAUGCCAGCUAGCGAUCCGCCGAAAUUCCUCCGAUGACUCGGCGAACAGCUUCCGGGAAACCAAAGCUUUUGGGUUCCAGGGGAAGUAUGGUUGCUAAGCGGAAACUUAAAGGAAUUGACGGAAGGGCACCACCAGGAGUGGAGCCUGCGGCUUUGUUUGACUCAUCACGGGAAACCUCACCAGGCCCAGACACCGGAAGAAUUGACAGAUUGACAGAUUGAGAGCUCUUUCUUGAUUCCGUGGGUGGUGGUGCAUGGCCGUUCUUAGUUGGUGGAGCGAUUUGUUUGGUUAAUUCCGAUAACGAACGUGACUCUGGCCUGCUAACUAGUCGCUUCCGGUAUCCCUUCGUGCUACCGGCGACUAAUGAUUUUCUUAGAGGGAUAGGCGGCUUCUAGCCACACGAGAUUGAGCAAUAACAGGUCUAUGAUGCCCUUAGAUGUUUUGGACCGCACGCACGCUACACUGAAGGAAUCAGCGUGUCCUCCUAGCCCGAAAGGGCCGGGUAACCAGUUGAACCUGCUUUGUGCUAGGGAUUGGGGCUUGCAAUUGUUCCCCAUGAACGAGGAAUUCCCAGUAAGUGCGAGUCAUAAGCUCGCGUUGAUUAUGUCCCUGCCCUUUGUACACACCGCCCGUCGCUACUACCGAUUGAAUGAUUUAGUGAGGUCUUCGGACUGGUGCCCGAUGGCUCGCUCGUCGAGUAGUUGAUGUUACUGGAAAGAUGACCAAACUUGAUCAUUUAGAGGAAGUAAAAGUCGUAACAAGGUUUCCGUAGGUGAACCUGUGGAAG
rnacentral:rRNA from 1 species